CACUUAGCUAAGCCACUACCACAUUCCUGACUGUCAGAAACUGAGCGACAUAAUGACUCUGUGGUUUUUAGGCUGCUAUAUCUGGGAGCAAUUUGUUCAACAGGAGUGGUACCUACCUUAAGUAUUAAUAGUUGUUGAGAGUCACCUUUCUCACCCCUUCACUUGAUGGCGCUGUUGUGCAACUGCAAACUCUUGUGGCGACGACUUGUCUCGCUGUACACCAGACAAGAGAUAAAAAGCAAGAUUUGAGAGAGGUUCAUGGAUCACUGGCACAAUCUGCUUAGUUCUACAAAGCAGAGUUUCUGGGCAUCAUUCUCCAUUUCUGUACACAAAGUGCUGUGACGCUCAAGAAGAAACAGCUCUGCGUAGGUACGAUGUGCACUGCCCUAUUGCUUCUUUAUCUAAGAUGGUGUUUCAACUUAAACUUGUGAAUGUGAAAUAUGAGCCAAAAGACUCUCUCGGCCCUGAAAUGACCUUUGUAGCAGAUGCUGCCAGAGGCCCCCUCUUAUCCUCCCUGGACUCUCCACCUAACCUGAUGUCAACUGCCAGUAUGUUCAUCUCCUUACCUGAGGGCUAUUCUGGUGGCAGGAGUCCUUGCUACUCACAGAAAUGGCCACCAGAAGUGCCAGAAAA
rnacentral:sRNA from 1 species